UGGAGGCAGCAGUGGGGAAUGUUGCGCAAUGGGCGAAAGCCUGACGCAGCAACGCCGCGUGGGGGAUGAAGGUUUUCGGAUUGUAAACCCCUUUCGACCGGAACGAAUCUCCUCCUGGUAAACAAUCAGGAGGAUCGACGGUACCGGGAGAAGAAGCCACGGCUAACUCUGUGCCAGCAGCCGCGGUAAGACAGAGGUGGCUAGCGUUGUUCGGAUUUAUUGGGCGUAAAGCGAACGCAGGUGGUUUGGUAAGUCAGGGGUGAAAUUCCACAGCUUAACUGUGGCAUUGCCUUUGAUACUGCCUUUCUUGAGUGCAUGAGGGGGAAGCGGAAUUCCGAGUGUAGAGGUGAAAUUCGUAGAUAUUCGGAGGAACACCGGUGGCGAAGGCGGCUUCCUGGCAUGUAACUGACACUCAUGUUCGAAAGCGUGGGUAGCAAACAGGAUUAGAUACCCUGGUAGUC
rnacentral:rRNA from 1 species